CCCGCUGAACUUAAGCAUAUCAGUAAGCGGAGGAAAAGAAACUAACAAGGAUUCCCCUAGUAACGGCGAGUGAAGCGGGAAUAGCUCAAAUUUAAAAUCUCGGCGUUCUGCGUCGCGAAUUGUAGUCUAAAGAGGGUGAUCUAGGGUCGGUGGUGUGCUCAAGUCCCUUGGAAUAGGGCGCCAGAGAGGGUGAGAGCCCCGUAAUAGCAUGUCGCUGGCCUCAAGUGAGAGCCUCUCAACGAGUCGAGUUGUUUGGGAAUGCAGCUCAAAGUGGGUGGUAAAUCUCAUCUAAGGCUAAAUAUUGGCAAGAGACCGAUAGCGAACAAGUACCGUGAGGGAAAGAUGAAGAGCACCUUGAAAAGGGAGUUAAAUAGUGCGUGAAAUUGUUAAAAGGGAAACGAUAGAGACUAGUAUUGGACGUAGGCUAAGCUGGUGUUUCGGCAUUAGUGGUGCUUGCGCUUCGAGUCAAUGUCAGUUGUUUUUGCCGGAUACGGCUUGGAGAAAGGUGGGGUUGACUUUGGUCUUCUCUUUAUAGUCUCUGAUGCCUGCGGCCGAGGCGACUGAAAGUCUUGGGACGCUAGGCUACUCGGGGGUAGUAAGUGGCAGACAGCAUGCUGACUGUUGCCUUACUUAUUCUCUACUAACCGACGCUUACCUGGAUGCCUUUGACGAGAUGGUCUUUAACGACCCGUCUUGAAACACGG
rnacentral:rRNA from 1 species